rfam:Triticum aestivum genome assembly, contig: Triticum_aestivum_CS42_TGACv1_scaffold_224172_3B
CAUAUACUCCCUCCGUCCUAAAAUUCUUGUGAUAGAUUCGUCUAGAUACGGAUGUAUCUAAUACUAAAAUGUGACUUGAUACAUCCAUAUUUAAACAAAUUUAAGACAAUAAUUUUAGGAUGGACGGAGUAUUUG